UACAGAGGUCUCAAGCGUUGUUCGGGAUUCUUGGGCGUAAAGAGCGCGUAGGCGGUCCGAUAAGUCGGCUGUGAAAGUCAAGGGCUCAACCCUUGAAAGCCGGCCCGAUACUGUCGGACUAGAGUCCGGAAGAGGCGAGUGGAAUUCCCGGUGUAGCGGUGAAAUGCGCAGAUAUCGGGAGGAACACCAAUGGCGAAGGCAGCUCGCUGGGACGGUACUGACGCUGAGGCGCGAAAGCGUGGGGAGCAAACAGG
rnacentral:rRNA from 1 species